CGAGAAGAUUAGCAUGGCCAUUGCGCAAGGAUGACACUCAAAUUCGUGAAGCGUUCCAAAUUUUU
rnacentral:snRNA from 1 species